rnacentral:hammerhead_ribozyme from 1 species
GAACUGUUGAAGAGUCCCAAACAAGGCGAAACAGUUGUCCAGUGC